rnacentral:lncRNA from 1 species
GGAAGCAUUCAUGAUGCCAGCAGUAGAAGGUGUUUUAAAGCCUAUUAUGUCUUUGGUUCUUUUAAGAACUCAAGCAUGGAUCAAGUGACAUUUCUGCUGCCCAGUUGUCUGGAAAAACAUAAAAAAGCCAGUGAGAAACUGUGUAUAAUGAAUUGCUCAAGUUGGAAACAAGGCUUAGAAUUUUCAUCGAUUCCACCCCAAAUUAUUGUGUAUUGUGGAUCUCAAAGUCAGUCUGCUGGAUUUUGGGGAUACUUCCAGUAUGCAAGAAGAUGAGAAAUCCACAGAACUAGAAGACAGAUGAUGCCUUCAAUUAUUUGGAAGAAACAGAAGUGAACCCAGAGAAGAACGGAUGUUAUAGAAUAAGUAUCUGAUUAUAGGCAUAAUAAAGCAAUGUUUUGAGGGUUUGCUUUACA